GACGAACGCUGGCGGCGUGCUUAACACAUGCAAGUCGAACGGAAAGGCCCUGCUUUUGUGGGGUGCUCGAGUGGCGAACGGGUGAGUAACACGUGAGUAACCUGCCCUUGACUUUGGGAUAACUUCAGGACACUGGGGCUAAUACCGGAUAGGAGCUCCUGCUGCAUGGUGGGGGUUGGAAAGUUUCGGCGGUUGGGGAUGGACUCGCGGCUGAUCAGCUUGUUGGUGGGGUAGUGGCUUACCAAGGCUUUGACGGGUAGCCGGCCUGAGAGGGUGACCGGCCACAUUGGGACUGAGAUAGGGCCCAGACUCCUGCGGGAGGCAGCAGUGGGGGAUAUUGCACAAUGGGCGGAAGCCGGAUGCAGCAACGCCGCUUGCGGGAUGACGGCCUUCGGGUUGUAAACCGCUUUCGCCUGGGACGAAGCGUGAGUGACGGUAAUGGGUAAAGAAGCACCGGCUAACUACGUG
rnacentral:rRNA from 1 species